GGGUGACGAGCGGCGGACGGGUGAGUAAUGUCUGGGGAUCUGCCUGAUGGAGGGGGAUAACUACUGGAAACGGUAGCUAAUACCGCAUAACGUCGCAAGACCAAAGAGGGGGACCUUCGGGCCUCUUGCCAUCAGAUGAACCCAGAUGGGAUUAGCUAGUAGGUGGGGUAAUGGCUCACCUAGGCGACGAUCCCUAGCUGGUCUGAGAGGAUGACCAGCCACACUGGAACUGAGACACGGUCCAGACUCCUACGGGAGGCAGCAGUGGGGAAUAUUGCACAAUGGGCGCAAGCCUGAUGCAGCCAUGCCGCGUGUAUGAAGAAGGCCUUCGGGUUGUAAAGUACUUUCAGCGAGGAGGAAGGCAUUAAGGUUAAUAACCUUAGUGAUUGACGUUACUCGCAGAAGAAGCACCGGCUAACUCCGUGCCAGCAGCCGCGGUAAUACGGAGGGUGCAAGCGUUAAUCGGAAUUACUGGGCGUAAAGCGCACGCAGGCGGUUUGUUAAGUCGGAUGUGAAAUCCCCGGGCUCAACCUGGGAACUGCAUUCGAAACUGGCAAGCUUGAGUCUUGUAGAGGGGGGUAGAAUUCCAGGUGUAGCGGUGAAAUGCGUAG
rnacentral:rRNA from 1 species